rnacentral:lncRNA from 1 species
UCCAAUAAUAUAUUAAAGUCAGUGGAGAUAGUGGGAAAAAAGAAAACCAGACCUAAUAAGACGAUUCUUUGCACAUAUCUUAAAGACCUUCCACCUUCUCUGUGGUACAUAACCAUCACUCAUAAUAAUUAAUCGCCACCAAAAUAUGUUAGAGUGUCACUUUAAUUGUAUGUUUCUUUGCAAUUAUGGUUACAAAAAUAAACUUGUUCUUGCAAGGGCCUAGAAACAAUCUUCUUUCUUUUGAGGUUGUUGAUUUCUUGGUCUUCUUUCUCGGUGUGAACUGUCGGUCUGGGCUUUUGGCUUGGACCUCUCGGUCUGGGCUUUCGGUUUGGACCUCUCGAUUUGGACCUGAAUAUGACUUGUAGACUCUCACUUCUUUGGGCUAGGUCAACUAGAUGUCUCAGUUCUUGGUCUCGGUCUCCUUUCACGGAUGAGUGUGUGUACCUGAAAGGUGCUCCAAUGCCAAAGUCAGAAUUGGUACUAGUUAAUUAUAAGAUAAAUUCACUUUACUUACCUUUUAGGUUGAACAUCUAUUAUAAGACUCUUUUAUUGGGCUUAGAAGCUGCUUGUGUCAUUUCUUUUUUGUACUAACAUUUUUAAACUCACAUCUGUAUCUUUGAGUCUUUUUUAUGGACUUUGUUACAAUAACUAAUUUAAUUUAAUUUAUUUAUUUUUUGUAUUUAACUAUUUGGUGACCUUUUCCAAAAUGACUACUUAAAAUUUGUCUCACAAAUUCUGUGCCUUAUACACGCACUACAAAAUACUUUUUAAUUCAUGUCUCCAAUUUUUAAGGAGUAUUUUUAUUUUUAAUUUUCCUCCAAAUUAAUUGCAUCAAUCUCUUUUGAUAAAGAUAUUUCAAAAAAUGGUACAUUUAUGGUUGUUUGUAAGGAAAAAACUAUUUUUUUAUGAAAUAGUUUAAGUGUAUGUUUGUCUGGAUAUAUUUUCUUAGAAAUUUGGUACUGGAGAUAUUACAAAGUUCCAUUGGAUUAAAGUUUAAUUUUCCUCCUAUGCAUCAACAUCAAUAUAUUCGUAAUAAAAAAUGAUAUUUUUUAUCAAUAAAAAAAUAAAAAAAAUAAAGUAUUUAAGAAAUAUCCCAACCAUUCAAAACUACUUAUCAUUCGUAACAAGAAAUGAUAUUCGAAGAAGAAAUGAUAUACCUGUGCAUACCAGCAUUUCACCUUGUGUUGGAAAAUCCUUUCUAGGAAAAACCUCUUUCCUACACCAUGAAUUCCCUUGCAGUUUUUACCAACAUAACACCAUAGUUUGUGAUGUGAUAUUCGCAAAAGUGAUCCAUACUAGUGUAUCAAAUUAUCCAUUCAUGUUCGUUAGGACCUUUUGGAGAUGCUAUUACAUUAUAAUAUAUAUUCACUAUUAUUUGCUUCCUUCUCUGUUUUCUCACUUAUCAGCAACAAAAAUAAUGAAAAUCACGAUAUUGUUGAUGAUCAUAACAAAGUAUGAAAAUAUAUAUACUGAAAACAAAUUCUUCCACUGAUGCAAUCACAAAGGAGUUGAACAACAAGAAUUUUCAUGAAAAACAUAUCAAAAUAAGAGAGUGAUAAGAAACAUGAACAGGUUACUGAUAAUCAUUUCAUCAUUAAACAAUGAAAACUUAAAACAUUCCAUGCUAGCUCAUAAACCAAAACCUAUGUCACUGGUUUGAGACACUAGAAUGGAUCACCAUGGCAUAUCGCAUGAUCCUAAAGGGAGCGACUCAGAGAAAUAAACGCAGUGAAGAAAUGAAAGAGAUAUAUAAUAAUGGGAUAGCUCAUGAUUUUCGAUUGGUGGAUGUGGCUUUUGA